GUCACUUUGGCAGCCCAUAUACUAAACUGGAAUGAUACAGAAGAUUAACCUGGUCCCUGCACAAAGAUGAUUUGCAAAUUUGUGAGGUGUUCCAUAUUUUU
rnacentral:snRNA from 1 species